CCAGUGAACUAUUUAACGGCCGCGGUAUCCUAACCGUGCAAAGGUAGCAUAAUCAUUUGUCUACUAAUUAUAGACCAGCAUGAAAGGCAAAAUGAGGGUUUGACUGUCUCUUAUAAUUAAUCAAUUAAACUGAUCUCCCAGUAAAAAAGCUGGAAUUACCCCAUAAGACCAGAAGACCCUGUGAAGCUUAAACUCCACUAUUAAACCCAAUAAUAGCCACUUUCGGUUGGGGCGACCUUGGAAAAAAAAAGAACUUCCAAACACAUGGUAUAUACAUAUCACCAAUAGGCCAACAAGCCACACAACGACCCAGCAUAGCUGAUCAUUGAACCAAGUUACUCCAGGGAUAACAGCGCAAUCCUCUUCA
rnacentral:rRNA from 1 species